rfam:Bacillus azotoformans LMG 9581 contig151, whole genome shotgun sequence.
UAAACAACUAUGAUGAGGAAUAGUAAUGGUUGAUGAGUCUUCUAGAGAAUUGGCGGUUGGUGCAAGUCAAUAGCUUAUCAUCAUGAACUCGCCUUUAAGUUGCAAAUGUGAAAAAUAGUAAUGUUUGCCGUAUUGUCCGCGUUAAGGAAUUAGAAGUGGGUUAAUCUUUAUAUGAAUGGUGUAUAAAGAUUUGCUAAUGUGGGUGGUACCGCGGGAAGUUCAAAUAGCCUCUCGUCCCUGGU